UUCAUAUAUUUGCUGUAUUUUUUCUGUUUUUUUUCUUUUUGAGUGGUAACUCCCACCUGUUUGCCUCUUACUAUAGAUUUUGACCUUUAACACACAGAAAUCUGCAAUCUGCCCCUCUGCAUCAGACUCAGUACAGAAGUCCUGUAAGUAGACCACCCCUUCACAGCAAUUUUUGUUUUCUCCAUGAGCAGAUGUACAGUGAAAGUAGAGUGCCGUUCAACCAGAGCUAGCUGUAUUAGCUGCUGCUGAAAACUUUACAGGAGGAAAUAUUCUCAGUGAAAGUUUAUGUACAUCAUGGGAAGAGGGGACUCAAGUCAGCGCGGCUCUUGCUUCCAAGCUGCUCACGUGCUCGCAUGUCAGCAUCCGUGGGAAUGUCAUCUUGGCUCCGGGGCUACAGAUUUAUUGCUUGGCCACCAGAGGGUACCAGAGUUUUCUAAUGAAGGAAAAAACAGUCCUGAGGUCAAAGCAUACCUAUUGUUUCCUUCCAUUUCCCACCGAAGCUGA
rnacentral:lncRNA from 1 species